rnacentral:rRNA from 1 species
AUUGAACGCUGGCGGCAUGCCUUACACAUGCAGUCUAAGUGGCGCACGGGUGAGUAAUAUAUAGGUAAUAUGCCUCUUACUAAGGGAUAACAGAUGGAAACGUCUGCUAAUACCUUAUAUGCCUUUAGGACUAAAGUCCGCAAGGGAAAGAUUUAUCGGUAAGAGAUUAGCCUGUACAGUAUCAGUUAGUUGGUGAGGUAAUGGCUCACCAAGACUAUGACACUUAACUGGUUUGAGAGGAUGAUCAGUCACACUGGAACUGAGACACGGUCCAGACUCCUACGGGAGGCAGCAGUGGGGAAUAUUGCACAAUGGACGGAAGUCUGAUGCAGCAACGCCGCGUGGAGGAUGACACAUUUCGGUGCGUAAACUCCUUUUAUAUGAGAAGAUAAUGACGGUAUCAUAUGAAUAAGCACCGGCUAACUCCGUG